AGAUGACAAAGAUGCAAGUUUGAGAACCAGACUGCAGGCGGCGGUUAGGUUCAUAUUGUUCUAAAAGAGCCAGUUCAGGAGCACCCCCCUUUGUAAAUUGAGGCAAAAGCAGGUAGAAGUCAAGGUUGCUUAUUUCAAUGGGUUGGUGAUGCUGGGUAUUUACACUAGUUUCAUAUAUAUAUAUUUUCCCAUUCCUCGUUUUAGGCUUUUUUAUUUUUUUUUUUCCUUUUCCCUCUUUUUAUGGGGGCGUGAGGUCCUUAUAUGUGAUGGUGAGAUAUAUAA
rnacentral:misc_RNA from 1 species